rnacentral:lncRNA from 1 species
CCGCAGGAUAAUGCCUCGAGUAGGUCUCAAGUCAGAAAGAGUACAGCAUACGACGGAGAUGGGAUCGAGCGGCCUGGCUCGACUUCCAUAUUUGCCCAUCCAUGAUCAGCAGAUAAUUACCCUAGGACAUGGAGGCGAGGAGAUCUAGAAGCUCUCGGAGUUAGGAAGAGGUCGAAUAUCGAGUUGAGGUGAAGAUUGUUAGGAUUUGAUGCCUUGAGAUUUUAUCCAUAUUGAGCCCACAGAGAGGUUCGC